CAAGUAUCCAGUUCGAACAUUGCAUCCUUGUCUCCUUUGUCCAGGACCCCCUCUGCAGAUGUCCUGAACACUUCUGACUACAGCAAUUGAUUUUUCAACCGGGAUACCUAAUUCCAGGUAUUAGCUCUUGUCAGAAAGCUUUUACAUCCAAGCU
rnacentral:lncRNA from 1 species